rnacentral:misc_RNA from 1 species
GUUUCGCCGACCCUCGGCGCGGACUCGAUCCGGGCCAGCAUCCUGGCCGGUCUCGUCGGCCUUGGGAUCACUCUGGUUUGCGUGCUGCUUUAUUACCGGUUCGUCGGCGUGAUCGCCUGUUUGGCGUUGCUGAUCAAUAUCGUUUUGUUGAUCGGCUCGUUCCAGCUCAUCCCGGGGGGAGUCGUCCUUACCUUACCGGGUAUCGCGGGCAUCAUCCUGACGAUUGGCCUCGCAGUGGACGCAAGCGUUCUGAUUUAUGAACGGCUUCGCGAAGAACUGGCGCUCGGGAAGUCGUUACAGGUCGCGAUGCAGGCG